AGAGUUUGAUCCUGGCUCAGGGUGAACGCUAGCUACAGGCUUAACACAUGCAAGUCGAGGGGAAACGAUAGAGAAAGCUUGCUUUUUCUAGGCGUCGACCGGCGCACGGGUGAGUAACGCGUAUCCAACCUGCCCAUCACUUGGGGAUAACCUUGCGAAAGUAAGACUAAUACCCAAUGACGUCUCUAGAAGACAUCUGAAAGAGAUUAAAGAUUUAUCGGUGAUGGAUGGGGAUGCGUCUGAUUAGCUUGUUGGCGGGGUAACGGCCCACCAAGGCGACGAUCAGUAGGGGUUCUGAGAGGAAGGUCCCCCACAUUGGAACUGAGACACGGUCCAAACUCCUACGGGAGGCAGCAGUGAGGAAUAUUGGUCAAUGGACGAGAGUCUGAACCAGCCAAGUAGCGUGCAGGAAGACGGCCCUAUGGGUUGUAAACUGCUUUUAUAAGGGAAUAAAGUGAGUCUCGUGAGACUUUUUGCAUGUACCUUAUGAAUAAGGACCGGCUAAUUCCGUGCCAGCAGCCGCGGUAAUACGGAAGGUCCGGGCGUUAUCCGGAUUUAUUGGGUUUAAAGGGAGCGUAGGCCGGAGAUUAAGCGUGUUGUGAAAUGUAGACGCUCAACGUCUGCACUGCAGCGCGAACUGGUUUCCUUGAGUACGCACAAAGUGGGCGGAAUUCGUGGUGUAGCGGUGAAAUGCUUAGAUAUCACGAAGAACUCCGAUUGCGAAGGCAGCUCACUGGAGCGCAACUGACGCUGAAGCUCGA
rnacentral:rRNA from 1 species